UAGUUUCCCAUUGACUUUAAUCACAGGAC
rnacentral:piRNA from 1 species